UACCAACGGUUCAAGUCGCAGCCACAUUUAUUUGGUCUAAAACAUCCGUAGCUUGUUUUGUAAGUCUUUUGUGAAAUCCGGCUUCUUAAGAGUCGGGCGUGCAAGAGAUACUGCUUAGCUAGAGACCGGGAGACGUAAGGAGUACAUAGGGGGUAUCAGUAAAAUGAGUUGAUCCUCUGUGGACUAACAACAGCGAAGGCACCUUACGAGAACGGAUCUGACAGUAAGGGAUGAAGGCUAGGGUCGCGAAAGG
rnacentral:rRNA from 1 species